rnacentral:rRNA from 1 species
GAUGAACGCUGGCGGCGUGCCUAAUACAUGCAAGUCGAGCGAACGGACGAGAAGCUUGCUUCUCUGAUGUUAGAGGCGGACGGGUGAGUAACACGUGGAUAACCUACCUAUAAGACUGGGAUAACUUCGGGAAACCGGAGCUAAUACCGGAUAAUAUUUUGAACCGCAUGGUUCAAAAGUGAAAGACGGUCUUGCUGUCACUUAUAGAUGGAUCCGCGCUGCAUUAGCUAGUUGGUAAGGUAACGGCUUACCAAGGCAACGAUGCAUAGCCGACCUGAGAGGGUGAUCGGCCACACUGGAACUGAGACACGGUCCAGACUCCUACGGGAGGCAGCAGUAGGGAAUCUUCCGCAAUGGGCGAAAGCCUGACGGAGCAACGCCGCGUGAGUGAUGAAGGUCUUCGGAUCGUAAAACUCUGUUAUUAGGGAAGAACAUAUGUGUAAGUAACUGUGCACAUCUUGACGGUACCUAAUCAGAAAGCCACGGCUAACUACGUG